UGCUUUGUGUGAAAUGAGUUUUUCCUCUUAGCUUAGGUGAGCUGUAUCCCAUUGCACUUGAAAGGGUUGCUCUGGGAAUGAGCAAAUCCGUAGCUGGUGAGUUUGUUACUUAUGUCUGCCUGUUUUGAUUCACAAAGAAGUCUGCAGUCCCUUUGAGUUUUGUUUUCUGUAUUUCAUGACUGACUGAUGAUGCUCUAAAGACUAACUUAACAUGUACCAGUUCUUCAUGUUCAGUUAUUACUGUAUUUAAAUGCUGUCUCAAUCACUGACUUUCUCUCAGUUACGCUGUAGGCAUCAGCAUUAGCACACCUUUUUAUGCUAGGGCAGGGGGGGGAGUGUAACAAUUGUACUUAAAAGUUGUUGGCUUAUUUUUAAACUGAAAUCUAACUUUCAGAAACUCUUUUACACCACUUACCAGACUAACUGAACAAGUAUUUCUUGCUGUGGCAGCUAUGUGUUGAGUCUUCAGGCUUUUCUUUAAUGAAGCCACCCUUUUAAAGGUAACUUGAAAUUGUUAUCACAGAACAAUUGUAAUCAAUAGUUUUAACUGGCAAUUUCUGUGGCAUGGCAGUGAGUUGAUACUCAUUUUGAAUGUAGUUUUUCUAAAGUACCAGUCUUGGUAUUUAAAGAUGGAAUGUUGUGUAAGUAAACAGUCCUUUUUCAGCUUUGUGGAAUGAGAUGUUGCCAGCCUGGAGAUUUCACAUUUCAGAGACUCUCCUUAGCAAAAAGCUAAUACAUGUGCACAAGCCAUGGAAGAUGAUUGUGAAGUGAAUGCCUUCAGAAGCUUGGGCAGUAGAAUAAAAGACUGUACCAUCCUUGUGAAGAAAGGUUGGUUACAGUGAGAAUUUAGGGAAGUACUGGCAGGUACUUUCAUACUAUCUGGCCUGAUGACAUGCUGCAGAAGUGUCAAAGUGUCCGUGGUGGCCUGCACAGUGUUCUCUCUAUUCUCUGCAUUUUCGCUUUUGAUCUUCACAAGACACAAAGGGCAGAGGGCGGCAUAGUUGGAAGUAGUGAGGUAAGUAGUUGCUGCAUCACGAAAUGGGAAUGAAUACAGUAAUGUGUGCCUCAUAGAUAGCCACUGGGCUUUUAGAAAGCAUGAAGCACUGUCAGCUGAGGUUUAUGAAAGCCUGCAGCAGUGUGCCUCCUUUUAAAUAAAUGGGAAGAGUGGAACAGAAAGAAAAGUGUAUACAAAGUGUAUAUAGACUGAAUGUAAGAAUCUGUGUGGACAUAAAUCAGUGAAAUGCAUCUAGUAAUAGAGCUUGAAAAAUGGAUGAGCACAGAAUGCUCUUGUUAGAAUGCCCUGUUCCAGUACAGCAUUUUAAAGCUCUAUCACAGUGAGUUAAUGAGCAAUAUUGUCCUUGUGCGUGACUCAGGAAACGCAGUAAACCCUAAGAGAGCAUCUCUUUACGAUUUGUAAAGAGAUGGUUUGUGUACAAAGACCUAAAUGAUGAUGAUGGGGGUUGGAACUGGGUGAUUUUAAGGUCCUUUCCAACCCAAACCAUUCUGUGAUUCUAUGUUCAGAUCCUUAGUACACUUCUGAAAAGGCCAGCGGUGCCCCUUGCUUUUGUGAAUAACUGUUAGCAGCCAGGCUCAUCUUGCCCUGUAUUCAAAUACCAGGGACUUCAUGGAAGGGAUAAAAGAUCAAGGUUGAUAAGCUAAUGUGCUUCUAGCUGCUUUUGUGUCUCUUAACUUUCAUUCUGUUCAAAGUGUUAUUGGUAGAUAGCUUUUACAGUCUUACUUACUGAAAUAUGCAAGAAAAAAUUACUAAUCCUGUCGAGAUCUUUAUAUUCCCUGUGUAGUAUCCCAUCAGGAAUUCCUAUAUAAGACCCACUUUACAGAACAUUGCAUAACCUUCUGAAAAAAGCCCCAAACUUCAGUUCUUUUAAUAUCUCUCUUUAGAUCAAAGAUCUACAAGCACCCACCUCCAAAACUGAAACAGUUGAGGGUUUUAUAUUGUUUGCCUUGUAAUUUAAUUGGCUGUCUCCUCCCUCAUUCAUGGUCGUUAAUUCAUGGAGGAGAAAGCACUAUCAGUAAACAUUCUAUCUGCCUUUAGGCUAAUGGGUGCAAGUCAUCUAGGUGAUACUCUGAUUUCUAAUACUAAAGCCUUAGGUUUGAGUUAAGGUAUUAGUGAGUUUGGCCUUUGCAAAAUAAGGUUGGCAAUAGAAAACUAAUGAUACGCCAGCUGUAUGUGCUUAUGUGUGUGUAAAUACACAUAAUAUUCAGCUAAUACAUAGACACAUAGCCCUAAGGAUCACUGCUAUCUGAUAGAAGAUACCUUUGUGUAGAGGUCACAGGUAUCUGCUUGGGAAUUCUUGCUUUUCCUCAGGAUCAACAGUGAAUUUGAUAACCACUUGCUGUUGAAUAUGGGAGCUCCCUAAAUAAGUGCAAUGUUUCCAGGGGUUAGCUUUACCCUAAGUUACAGCUUUUCACUUCAGCUUGUGUUUGACCUUCUUCUGGUCAGUCAGAGGCAGAUGAUUUUAAAAAAAGGAAGGAAAUACAUGGGAAAUCUUUAGAUUGUGCAGAGCCCAAAUGCUGAAAUAAGGUAAAGAGGGUUCAACAGCUGCAGGAGUCAAGGUCUGUGUCCUCUUUAUGUAUUUUGGGGGGUGGUCCUAUGCUUUUCCCUGUCUUCCAGAGUAUAUUCUGUAUGGUUUUGCAGGUUCUAAGUAGCAAAGUCAGGCAUUGAGAAGUAACACUGAGAGAAUCAUUGCCUGUAAGAUGAUGAUCUCUUUGACCUGUCAGGCCUGAACUCUGCAGCCUUUUGGACUGCUCUGUUGACUGGUUGAAAGGUCAUUGUGGUAACUUGCAACAGUCAUUUAAUCUUUCCUGGUUCCUGUAUCUGAAAAGUGGGUGUGAACAUACAGUUGUAAAGCGCUCCAGAUUUAGAGCUGACAAGUGCCAUGCAAGCUACUGUGACUCUUACUGUUGCUUAUGGUAUCAAGCCGUAACUUACAUUAGUUUUUUAACACACCACUAAUUUGUAGUGUAUCUUUUUGUAAUCAGCACAGUGUAACCAAUACACAUUAAAACCAUUAAAUGUAGUGUUAAUGAAUCUACUGUAGGAAAAUAUGUUUUAAUAACAUUCCAUUUUAAGCAAGUUAAGAUGUUUUGGUGCCUAGAGCUGAAAGCUUUCCAUGUCCUAAUGCCAUAGGAAAUUACUUUCACACCUAUUUGAAGAACUGGUAUUAAACCUUAACCAAAACAUACAGUUUGCCAAAAAGCUGCAUUACUGAAUGCGAGGGUAGAUUUGGCAGCAGAUGUAUGAUUUAGAAACAGCAUUUAGCAUAACAUCUGUUUACUUACCACUACGGGGUUGCUGGUGAAUCUAGAUUUGGUUUAGAAGUGAGACUUUGUACCCAGGUCUGCCCUUAUCAUGCAGUGUAUUAGUCAUACUAGGAUGCAGAGGCAGAGCACUUAGAAAAGAAGCAGAAUGCAGCAACACAGAGUGAGUAGGACAAGCCUAGUGACCACUACUGCUGAGAAUCUCACAGAUUUACUUUAAUGUGUAAUACAAUAUGGGGACAAUCACUUCAGCCUGAGAAAGGAAGAAAGUCUGUCUCUUGAAAACAUACUUCUGUACAGUAGCUCAGAUUAAAUUGUUAUUCCUUUCAUGUGUCUAAAAAGUAACAAUAGAGAUUGAGGGGUUUAAUAUGACUCAGUGAGGUGUAAGAUUGAAACAGCUCACCUACAGUGAGUCACUGAUUUAAUUAGGUAUGUAGUUGAUAAGUAGGAUAUCUAUAGAUAAGUGUGAUAUCUAUAAAUUGGGAAAUGAAUCUGAUCCAUAGAGCUGAUGUAGUGACUUCUAGACAGCAGACUCCACCUGCAGGGCUCGUAUCCAUAGGAAUGUCAUGGUAACUUUUGGAAACCUUAAUGUGGAAUAAUAUUACUGAAGCAAUUUGAAACCAUCUCCUGGCACUUGUUUAGUAGUUACUGAAUUGAAAUGCGAUUGAACUUCAGGAGUUUUCAGGAGGUCAGUGCUAGAUGUUCUCUGAGUGCAGAAUGUCCACUGCUGCCUUGGACUCACUGAUGGCUUAGUUCAAGUGCUGAUGCAACCAUCUGACUCCCUGAGAAAAGCCCCUCUCUUCCCCCCCUCCAGAAGUGCCUAAACAUGCACCAUAGGUAUCUCUGUUGGGUAUGAUGCUGAGGCUAACUGCAGUUAAAUAUCCUCAAAUAAGAUUAAAAUUAACUAUUUACCAAAGUGCACUUGCUGCUAAUGGAGUAGCUUAGCAGCGUGCUGCAGGACCAUCUGGGAACCCGAAUUCAGAGGGUUACAUGGGGCCCUGGAUCUCACACUGGGCUUAUUGGAGAAAUAGCAUCUGGGGAAGGGUUCCCAAAGGAAUGAGCAGCAGGCUCAGAGAAGCAGAGUUGUGUCAGUACUCCAACAAGUAUCAUUUAGAUGGGAGCGCUGGUAAAAGGUAAUUUAGAAGUAAGAAGCUUUUGCUAGUGAGCACUAUGCAAAGACUCAAACUGAAAAGCUUUGCAGAAGAGCAAAGAUCAGGGUUAAGGUAGAUGUUUUGGACUGAAAACUGCCAUUGUCCUUAUGCAAUCCAGACAUCUUAAAAAAUUAAACUCAGUUAAACCAUCACUAUUAACUUAUUUUAAGCCUUAUGAGUAUAUUCUCAUGAGAAGAGGCUAUUGCAGGUGCUGAGAAGCAGUGCUGCAGCUUUUCCAUCAGCCUGGAUGUGUGCUAACAAGCUGCACAAAACUCAUUGGUGUUAAGCAACAACAUUCAUAGGUGUUCAGCAAAAAUAACACGAAAUACAUCUGUUACUUCACUUGAUAUUCACGUAAUAGGAAAAGCUGUUGGUAAACUUUUAUUUUCCUUUAAAAAAAAAAGGAAAGGAAUCUUGGUUAAGAAACCAUUUUGUUUCAUGUCUGGGAGUUCAGCAAGCAACUAUUAAUGCCUGAAGGCAAAAAUGGAUUUCUUCCUAGCAAUUAGUCCAUACUUCAGAAAAGUUUCCUUUGCUGCUGGUUACUAAUAAAGCAGAACCAUUUAAAAUACUAAUAGCAGAACCAUUUAAACUAAAUGGUAGAGGGUAGUUUAGGUCCACAAGUACAGACCAACUCUUGAGAUGACCCAGGUAAGUGAUGUGGUUACACCUUCACAGUGGAGACACGCUGAGGGAGAUAAUAACAGCUGCCUGGGCAACCUGAGCCGUGGUAUCUCUAAUUAGUCCUUGACUUGCAACUUGAGUGUUGUUUUAAUGCAAAGGAAGGCUGCCUGUGUGCAUCUUGAAAAGCUGUGAAAACAGACUGCAGGAGCCCCACAGUCUUCCCAGGGAGCAUCAGAAGGCUGGGAUCUUUGAUUGGUAGAAGCCUGCAUCUUAAAUCUAAAGUUGGUAAAUAUUCAUUUGGACCAUUAAGCUACUUUACAAGGAGAUGUGACACUGGGACUUUCAAGUUUCACGUUUGUUCUACUUUUGAACAGAUUAUUAGGUGAGGAUUAG